rnacentral:rRNA from 1 species
GAUUGAACGCUGGCGGUAUGCUUAACACAUGCAAGUCGAACGGAAACGAUACUAGCUUGCUAGUAGGCGUCGAGUGGCGGACGGGUGAGUAACGCGUAGGAAUCUGCCUGAUAGUGGGGGAUAGCCCGAAGAAAUUCGGAUUAAUACCGCAUAAUCUAUUCGUAGUAAAGUGGGGGACUUUCGAGCCUCACGCUAUCAGAUGAGCCUGCGUAAGAUUAGCUUGUUGGUAGGGUAAAAGCCUACCAAGGCGACGAUCUUUAGCUGGUCUGAGAGGAUGAUCAGCCACAUCGGGACUGAGACACGGCCCGAACUCCUACGGGAGGCAGCAGUGGGGAAUAUUGGACAAUGGGGGCAACCCUGAUCCAGCAAUACCGCGUGUGUGAAGAAGGCCUGAGGGUUGUAAAGCACUUUCAAUUGUGAAGAAAAGUUAGCGGUUAAUAACCGUUAGCCUUGACGUUAACUUUAGAAGAAGCACCGGCUAACUCCGUGCCAGCAGCCGCGGUAAUACGGAGGGUGCAAGCGUUAAUCGGAAUUACUGGGCGUAAAGCGUGCGUAGGCGGUUUAUUAAGUCAGAUGUGAAAGCCCCGGGCUUAACCUGGGAACUGCAUUUGAAACUGGUCAACUAGAGUAUGGUAGAGGAAAGUGGAAUUUCUGGUGUAGCGGUGAAAUGCGUAGAUAUCAGAAGGAACAUCAAUGGCGAAGGCAGCUUUCUGGACCAAUACUGACGCUGAGGUACGAAAGCGUGGGUAGCAAACAGGAUUAGAUACCCUGGUAGUCCACGCCGUAAACGAUGAUAACUAGCCGUUGGGGGGAUUUACCCUUUAGUGGCGAAGCUAACGCGUUAAGUUAUCCGCCUGGGGAGUACGGCCGCAAGGUUAAAACUCAAAGGAAUUGACGGGGACCCGCACAAGCGGUGGAGCAUGUGGUUUAAUUCGAUGCAACGCGAAGAACCUUACCUGGUCUUGACAUCCUGCGAACUUUCUAGAAAUAGAUUGGUGCCUUCGGGAACGCAGUGACAGGUGCUGCAUGGCUGUCGUCAGCUCGUGUCGUGAGAUGUUGGGUUAAGUCCCGUAACGAGCGCAACCCCUAUCCUUAUUUGCCAGCACAUCAUGGUGGGAACUAUAAGGAGACUGCCGGUGAUAAACCGGAGGAAGGCGGGGACGACGUCAAGUCAUCAUGGCCCUUACGACCAGGGCUACACACGUGCUACAAUGGGAAGGACAAAGAGCCGCGAAGCCGCGAGGUGUAGCUAAUCUCAUAAACCUUUUCGUAGUCCGGAUUGGAGUCUGCAACUCGACUCCAUGAAGUCGGAAUCGCUAGUAAUCGUAGAUCAGAAUGCUACGGUGAAUACGUUCCCGGGUCUUGUACACACCGCCCGUCAA